UACAGAGGGUGCGAGCGUUGUCCGGAAUUACUGGGCGUAAAGCGCGCGCAGGCGGCUAUCCAAGUCAGUGGUGAAAGCCCGGAGCUCAACUCCGGAACUGCCAUUGAAACUGUUUAGCUUGAGGAUGAGAGAGGUGAGUGGAAUUCCCAGUGUAGAGGUGAAAUUCGUAGAUAUUGGGAAGAACACCGGUGGCGAAGGCGGCUCACUGGCUCAUUACUGACGCUCAGGCGCGAUAGCGUGGGGAUCAAACAGG
rnacentral:rRNA from 1 species